AUUGAACGCUGGCGGCAUGCCUUACACAUGCAAGUCGAACGGUAGCGGGCCUUCGGGUGCCGACGAGUGGCGAACGGGUGAGUAAUGUAUCGGAACGUACCUUUCAGUGGGGGAUAACGUAGCGAAAGUUGCGCUAAUACCGCAUAUUCUGUGAGCAGGAAAGCAGGGGAUCGCAAGACCUUGCGCUGAUUGAGCGGCCGAUAUCAGAUUAGCUAGUUGGUGAGGUAAAGGCUCACCAAGGCGACGAUCUGUAGCGGGUCUGAGAGGAUGAUCCGCCACACUGGAACUGAGACACGGUCCAGACUCCUACGGGAGGCAGCAGUGGGGAAUUUUGGACAAUGGGGGCAACCCUGAUCCAGCCAUGCCGCGUGAGUGAAGAAGGCCUUCGGGUUGUAAAGCUCUUUCGGCCGGGAAGAAAUCGUAUCAGCUAAUACCUGGUGCGGAUGACGGUACCGGCAUAAGAAGCACCGGCUAACUACGUGCCAGCAGCCGCCGUAA
rnacentral:rRNA from 1 species